GGUACAUUGAAAGAUGCUCAACAUCACUAAUCAUUGGGGAAAUGCAAAUCAAAACCACACUGAGAUAUCACCUCACACCUGUUAGAAUGGCUACUAUCAAACAGACAAGAAUUAACAAGAGUUGGCGAGGACGUAGACAAAACGGAAUCCUUGUGCACUUUGGUGGACAUGUAAAUCGAUGCAAGCACUUUGGAAAACAGCAUGAAGUUUCCUCAAAAAAUUAAAAAUAGAGCUGCCUUGAAUCUCAGUCAAGGUAGCUUUGCAAUGCCAAGGUCAGGGUCCUGGUUGGGAAAACCUUGACACAUCCGAUGAGUAUAUCUGGGUUGAUGCCCCUAAAGGUUUUGGCUCCUCAGACUUUUCUGAAACUUUAGAGCCUGCAACGGUUGCUCACCCCUAACUAGGAAGAGCUAGCAUUCCCUUAUGGGAAGAUUCUGUAGAGGCUUCGAAAACAAGACAACAAGGUCCCUUUCAGUAUCUGCACCCCCACCCCCUCCUGGUUGCCAGCCGGACAACUGGGGAAAAGUCGUAGCAUAGCCUCAUUAAAUCAAUGCUGGGCCUGAUAAGAGAGAAAGGGGUGUGAAAAUUAGUAGCAGAAAAAAUCGCUAAAAUGUAGCUGGGAGGUUAUGCAGGGGGCGCUCUCAGGCCCUACCACUCCUCAUCAACUGCUCACCCAAGAAGAGAGGGACCCUGCGGGUGGAUGCUACUUCAGGCUACUCCACCUGCAGGAAGAAAGGCUUUACUUAUCAUCCCAGCAACAGCUCAGCCAAUGAGAGACGAUCGCCAAGUCCAGCCAAUGAGAGACUAACAAGCCCAGCCAAUGGGAGACUCUCACAGCCCAGCCAAUGAGAAGACACUUUACUUCAAACUCCUAGUUUGCUCCCCUGGACUUUUUGCCUAUAACCGCCGGCCCAACUUAUGUUCCCCCUCUUUGCUCUUUAAAAGAGUCCGCCUCCCCUUUGCUCUUUGGACUCACCAGUGGUUUUGCUGUAGUUUGCUUGCCCACGUGGCAAUUCUCUUUUAUUCCCCGAUAAACCUAUCUUUUGCUGGUAAGGUAACUGGAAGUUUUAUUUUUAAGGCUAACAGGGGCUAUCUGCCAAAGGAGCUGCGAGAAUGAGCCAUGGAAUGGAUUUUGAAGGUGCUUGAUCAGGGGGCCAAACAUGCGACUAUAAAAGGGAGAGUUUGUUGACGUAAGGCAUUCUCUCAGGAUAUGGAUUUAAUACCCUGGCAAGGACCCCAGGGGAUAGGAAACUUGCUGCCAAAGUGGCUGAAAAUCUUCCAAACUUGAUGAAAACAAUAAGCCCACAGAUCCAAGAAGCUCAACAAACCUCAAGCAGAAUAAAUAUAGGAAAAUCGCACCAGGGCACAUCAUAAUCAAAUUGAUGAAAAUGAGAAUUAAAGAAAAACUCUUUAGAACGCUCAGAGAAAAAAUGCAUUGCAUGCAGAGCAACAAAGUGACGUCAAUAAUCUUUUUGAGUGAGAGCAACCACACCAUCCAGGGACAAUGGGGCAACAACUCGAAGACACUGAGAGAAAAGAAGAAAAACAAAUAAAAACCACUGACCAUUGAAACUUCUGUACUCAGAACAGCUUUGAAAAGUGAAAGCAAGUUUAUGGCAUGUGAAUUAUAUAGCAAUAAAGCUGUUAUUUAAAAAAAAUUUUUUUAAACGAUGGCAAGCUUCUGCUUUUGACUGAGAUGGUGUAACAGAGACAGAUUUACCUUCCUGCCUGAAACAACUAAGAAACUGAACAAAAUAUGUAUAUACAAAGUGACAUCAGCUGUCAGGUUUUUGGACACCAGGGAAUUAAGGACAAUGAUCCUGAGAGAUGGGAGCAAGUUAGCGUCCUGUCCAGAGGACCAGCACGGAGGACCAGCGAGAGGGCCGAAUGCAUGAUUGUCCUGCUCAGUGCCAUAUGGGGAGAGCAUGACGCCUCCCUGCACUAAACAGGAGAAAGAGACAGACGUCACUGCCCUGAGCUUGAAACCAGAGGGCUCUGCAUGGGUCCUGCCUGACGGAGAGGUCACCAUGUCGAAGGGAGGCCAUGAAGAAGUUAAGUAGAUGUGCAGGGAUCAAAUGCGUUAGGUUUGAAAUUUGAGUUUCUUUUUUAUCUUCAUUCCUGUGGUCUGGCACCAGGCCUCCUGUUCUGUGCUCUUGGUGGUACCAAGAAAGGGGCUGGGGCUGUCGGGGCGUCUGGGGAAACAGCAGAGACCUCAUCUGAAACAGAGAGCCUUCCACUGGGGGAGACCUCUUCUUACGGAUUUUGAGUUUCAUCAGAGUCGUACUUGGAGGGUGGGUUCUCCCCCCGCCAUAACAGGCAUGGAAUUAACACAGGGAGUAACCUACAUAUUUUCCAGAGAAGGGAGGUGGCCUGACCCAGACCUCUGACUCGGGGAGCAUUUCCUGAAUCCUCCAAGGGAGGGGAGAAGUAGGCUGUUUCCAUUUCACAGGUGUGGAUGAUGUUAUAGUCUGGGGCUCGCCUCAGCCAGGCCGGUGGCUGGCCAACGCAGAACCAAGGGCCUGUUUCCUGACCUUUGGUGGGGCUGCCCUGCAUUGGCUCUCUGUUCUGGGGCAGCUGGAGCUUGUCUGAAUGGGGCUGAGAAUGAAAAAGGGGGGGGCACUACCCGGUUACAUCCAGAAGUGGCCAGAAGCUAAUUUUCAAAAAACUUGAAGCAGGAAUAAUGAAAAUCCCCAUUCUUCAGAUCCAAACAGACCAAUCAGGGGCAAUGGAGAACUAGAAUGAAGCUUGCAGACUCUGGGGAAGAAAUUAAGCGUUUCGACUGAAGGUCACUGAAUAUCCUGGUUACUCCGGACAGAGCUGCUUCUAGAGAGAUCUGCGGGAGGUGCACCAUACGGCAGGUGGCAGGUUGGGUGUGUGCCCGCCACUUCCUUCCCUCUUUCUCUAUUCACGGCUUUGAAACAUGCUUGCCUCCAGGGCUUGAGGAAGAUGAGGCGAUUUGGUGAGAAAACAGCCAGAGCUAUGGCUAAAAUACCCGUCCAGUACAGCUUUGCAGUGGAAGGUUGAAGGUUAAUUUUAUGCCUCAGGUAAUAGAGGCAAGUGAAGAAAAUAGCGAUAGAGUCUGGUUCACCUUGAACUAAUUGAAUCAAGUGAUUCAAGGUUAACACUAUUUCUCAGAGGCUGUCAGCCCCUGGACCUUCUCAAAUGCAGAAAGGGGUGUGUGGGUGAGCCCCGCCUGGCUGCCUGGCCAGCACAGAGAUCAAAGCUUGGGACUGAAAGGCAGAAACCCCGAGCAGCAAAGGUGCUGCUGGCCAGGCUCAUUUUGCUGGCUUUUGGAGACUCUGAGCCUGUGUCCUUUUCUACAUUUAUUAAGCACUUGUUAUGUGCCAGAGGCUUAGACAUGAGGGGUUCUGUGAGGAAACAAGCAGAUAAGAUCCCUGUUCCGGUGGGGGAGUCAUAACAGUGCCAGUGGGUGCUCACAGCCCGUGCUCUGUGCCAGGCCGUCCUCUGGACACUUUGUGAGGGAUGAACUCCUUACUCUCCCAAAACGUGUGCAGAAGGACACCCAGGAAUGAGGCCAGGAGGCCCCAAGACUUGUCCAGAGCACACGCACAUAUGUGCAGCGUGUGGUCGUUCUGGGAUCAGUGCUUCCAUACCCAAAGAGGGCUGGCACAGCCCUGCAGGGAGGCGUUCACGCUGAGACCUGACUGGCUCUCUUAGGGCCCGUUCCUGGCUUCAGGAUAGAAAGCUGGGAACCAGCCCCAUCCUUGGACACUUGGCACUCAAGGCUGUGCUGGAAAUUCCCAGCAGCAAAGCCCUUUCUCCCUGCCCCUUUCUGGCCAGCGUCUGCAGUCAUGGGAGCAGACUUAAUGCCCUCCGGGACGAGUUUGCCCGUCCUUAGUGUUUUCAUGGGAAUUCACUUUCUGUUGUCAGCUGAUAUGGAGUCCAGAAGUGAAUAAAUGAGACCCAACAGAGA